rnacentral:rRNA from 3 species
GAAGGUGUGUCGUGAGGCAUGCUGGAGGUAUCAGAAGUGCGAAUGCUGACAUAAGUAACGAUAAAGCGGGUGAAAAGCCCGCUCGCCGGAAGACCAAGGGUUCCUGUCCAACGUUAAUCGGGGCAGGGUGAGUCGACCCCUAAGGCGAGGCCGAAAGGCGUAGUCGAUGGGAAACGGGUUAAUAUUCCCGUACUUGGUGUUACUGCGAAGGGGGGACGGAGAAGGCUAUGUUGGCCGGGCGACGGUUGUCCCGGUUUAAGCGUGUAGGUGUGUGUUCCAGGUAAAUCCGGUUCACUUUAACACUGAGGCGUGACGACGAGGCACUACGGUGCUGAAGCAACAAAUGCCCUGCUUCCAGGAAAAGCCUCUAAGCAUCAGGUAACAUCAAAUCGUACCCCAAACCGACACAGGUGGUCAGGUAGAGAAUACCAAGGCGCUUGAGAGAACUCGGGUGAAGGAACUAGGCAAAAUGGUGCCGUAACUUCGGGAGAAGGCACGCUGACACGUAGGUGAAGUGAUUUACUCAUGGAGCUGAAGUCAGUCGAAGAUACCAGCUGGCUGCAACUGUUUAUUAAAAACACAGCACUGUGCAAACACGAAAGUGGACGUAUACGGUGUGACGCCUGCCCGGUGCCGGAAGGUUAAUUGAUGGGGUCAGCGCAAGCGAAGCUCCUGAUCGAAGCCCCGGUAAACGGCGGCCGUAACUAUAACGGUCCUAAGGUAGCGAAAUUCCUUGUCGGGUAAGUUCCGACCUGCACGAAUGGCGUAAUGAUGGCCAGGCUGUCUCCACCCGAGACUCAGUGAAAUUGAACUCGCUGUGAAGAUGCAGUGUACCCGCGGCAAGACGGAAAGACCCCGUGAACCUUUACUAUAGCUUGACACUGAACAUUGAGCCUUGAUGUGUAGGAUAGGUGGGAGGCUUUGAAGUGUGGACGCCAGUCUGCAUGGAGCCGACCUUGAAAUACCACCCUUUAAUGUUUGAUGUUCUAACGUGGACCCGUUACCCGGGUUGCGGACAGUGUCUGGUGGGUAGUUUGACUGGGGCGGUCUCCUCCUAAAGAGUAACGGAGGAGCACG